ACUCAAAUGAAUUGACGGGGGCCCGCACAAGCGGAGGAGCAUGUGGUUUAAUUCGAUGAUACGCGAGGAACCUUACCUGGGCUAGAAUGCGCGUGACGUACUGGGAAACCAGUAUUCCCCGAAAGGGGCACAAAGCAAGGUGCUGCAUGGUUGUCGUCAGCUCGUGCCGUGAGGUGUUGGGUUAAGUCCCGCAACGAGCGCAACCCCUAUCAUUAGUUGCCAGCGGGUAAUGCCGGGCACUCUAGUGAAACUGCCUGCGUAAGCAGUGAGGAAGGCGGGGAUGACGUCAAAUCAUCAUGGCCCUUACGCCCAGGGCUACACACGUGCUACAAUGGCCGGUACAGAGGGUUGCAACAACGCGAGUUGAAGCUAAUCCCUAAAAGCCGGUCUCAGUUCGGAUCGGAGUCUGCAACUCGACUCCGUGAAGGUGGAUUCGCUAGUAAUCGCAUAUCAGCAAUGAUGCGGUGAAUACGUUCCCGGGCCUUGUACACACCGCCCGU
rnacentral:rRNA from 1 species